GAUGAACGCUGGCGGCGUGCCUAAUACAUGCAAGUCGAGCGAACGGACGAGAAGCUUGCUUUUCUGACGUUAGCGGCGGACGGGUGAGUAACACGUGGAUAACCUACCUAUAAGACUGGGAUAACUUCGGGAAACCGGAGCUAAUACCGGAUAAUAUUUUGAACCGCAUGGUUCAAUAGUGAAAGACGGUCUUGCUGUCACUUAUAGAUGGAUCCGCGCUGCAUUAGCUAGUUGGUAAGGUAACGGCUUACCAAGGCAACGAUGCAUAGCCGACCUGAGAGGGUGAUCGGCCACACUAGAACUGAGACACGGUCCAGACUCCUACGGGAGGCAGCAGUAGGGAAUCUUCCGCAAUGGGCGAAAGCCUGACGGAGCAACGCCGCGUGAGUGAUGAAGGUCUUCGGAUCGUAAAACUCUGUUAUUAGGGAAGAACAUAUGUGUAAGUAACUGUGCACAUCUUGACGGUACCUAAUCAGAAAGCCACGGCUAACUACGUG
rnacentral:rRNA from 1 species